GACGAACGCUGGCGGCGUGCUUAACACAUGCAAGUCGAACGCUGAAGCUUGGUGCUUGCCCUGGGUGGAUGAGUGGCGAACGGGUGAGUAAUACGUGAGUAACCUGCCCUUGACUCUGGGAUAAGCCUGGGAAACUGGGUCUAAUACUGGAUACGACAUGUCACCGCAUGGUGGUGUGUGGAAAGGGUUUUACUGGUUUUGGAUGGGCUCACGGCCUAUCAGCUUGUUGGUGGGGUAAUGGCUCACCAAGGCGACGACGGGUAGCCGGCCUGAGAGGGUGACCGGCCACACUGGGACUGAGACACGGCCCAGACUCCUACGGGAGGCAGCAGUGGGGAAUAUUGCACAAUGGGCGGAAGCCUGAUGCAGCGACGCCGCGUGAGGGAAGACGGCCUUCGGGUUGUAAACCUCUUUCAGCACGGAAGGAGCGAAAGUGACGGUACGUGCAGAAGAAGCGCCGGCUAACUACGUG
rnacentral:rRNA from 1 species